GGANUUGCGNAUGGGCGAAAGCCUGACGCAGCGACGCCGCGUGGGGGAUGAAGCUUUUCGGAGCGUAAACCCCUUUCGACCCGGACGAAUGCCCGCAAGGGCUUGACGGUACGGGUAGAAGAAGCCCCGGCUAACUUCGUGCCAGCAGCCGCGGUAAUACGAGGGGGGCGAGCGUUGUUCGGAAUUAUUGGGUGUAAAGGGUGCGUAGGCGGUUUGGUAAGUCUGAUGUGAAAUCUAUGGGCUCAACUCAUAGCUUGCAUCGGAAACUGCCGGGCUGGAGUGUGGGAGAGGUGAGUGGAAUUUCCGGUGUAGCGGUGAAAUGCGUAGAUAUCGGAAGGAACACCUGUGGCGAAAGCGGCUCACUGGACCAUAACUGACGCUGAUGCACGAAAGCUAGGGGAGCAAACAGGAUUAGAUACCCUGGUAGUCCUAGCCCUAAACCAUGACUGCUUGGUGUGACGGGUACCCAAUCCCGCCGUGCCGUAGCUAACGCGUUAAGCAGUCCGCCUGGGGAGUACGGUCGCAAGGCUGAAACUCAAAAAAAUUGACGGA
rnacentral:rRNA from 1 species